rnacentral:rRNA from 1 species
UACGAAGGGGGGCUAGCGUUGCUCGGAAUCACUGGGCGUAAAGGGUGCGUAGGCGGGUCUUUAAGUCAGGGGGUGAAAUCCUGGAGCUCAACUCCAGAACUGCCUUUGAUACUGAAGAUCUUGAGUUCGGGAGAGGUGAGUGGAACUGCGAGUGUAGAGGUGAAAUUCGUAGAUAUUCGCAAGAACACCAGUGGCGAAGGCGGCUCACUGGCCCGAUACUGACGCUGAGGCACGAA